rnacentral:lncRNA from 1 species
CUAAAUUAUUCUGGUUCAAAAUGGGCUGUUUUUUGAGAUUUCAGUGGAGAGGAAAAAAAGUGUUUAAGUAUUUUCAAGAGAGGUAACCUCGCUCGGUGAGCCCCGCCCGCGAUCCACGCUCUCUGGGAGCUAGGAGGGGCGCAGGAGCCGGGGUCUCUGCCCUGCCCGCCUGGCUUCCAGAUGUGGUGCAGCGCCAGCGCGCGGGGACACAGUGUCCGCCAGGAGAAGGAAGGGCCGCCCUGCACCACACCAGGCCAGCCUCUGGUGUUAAUGAGAGCCUAUAUUUGGAAGUGGCAUCUGGAGAGGUUUGCCUUGCACAAAGACCAAAUAAUUACCUCUUGGCUUUUGAAAAAGGAAGGGGGAAGCGGGAAGACAAAGGCGCCUGUGAGCGCGGAGGACGCUCUCCUGGGACUCUGGCCUGGAGCGGGACUGCAGCCUUGCGUGCGGCGAGGGCGCUGCGCUACUCAGGGCUUCCGCGAAGCCAGGGGCAGCGCGGCCGCGUGCAAAUUAAGUACUCAUGUCACCGUGUUAGCUAUGGUGGCUUGAAAGAAAUGCUUUGUAGCCCUCUAAAGGCAGGCUGAUCGGAAGAACUGGAAGAUUGCAAAGAUAAAAAGGAACUCUGGCAGAGAAGGGGGGCAAGAGGUGCUGGAGGAAAAAAGUGAAAAAGAAAAUAACAGUGGUGAUGUCAAGACUUGUCAGAGAAAAGUGCAUUGUCAGGUUGCAUAACUUCUUAAUCUUGGAAUGAGAAAACAAGAGUGUAUGUGUGUUUGGAGGGUGAGGUGGGGCACUCACAGAUUUCCUAAGCUAAUUUCAAUGAUUAUUCUUAUUUCUUCCAACAGUCACUAAUUUAAAUGUCAAACAGAGAAAAUAAUUCAAAGGAAUCCUUAUGCUAAUGGAACUGUACUUGCAGGAGAGAGGAAAAUAUGAAUACAUAUUCGAUUUCUCCACACACAAACUGGAACCUGGAGUAAAAGCCAGAGGCAGUUUUCUAAGCUUGCUACUCUAUGUGAGGGUUUGUUCGGAUGUAGGCACCUGGGUUUAUGAGAGCAGGAGUCCUCCUUGCUUUUCACUCCAUUUCCCACAAAACACACAUUUUUGUUACAGAUAUAGCACAGUUGAGAAAACACAUAUCGCCAUGGCUAUUAUUUCCUUGUUUCACUCUACACAGUCUAUUCACAACAAAGAAGAGUGUUAGACAAUGUUUUGGUAUUUAUUUGCUGGUAGUUAUAACACAAGAUCAUCUACUAAAAUGUGUAUUCAAAAAUCCAUUUACAACGUUUAAUAAUAAUUCACUAUGCAU